UCCUCCUGCACUCAGAAAUAUUGACUCCCUUUCCGUAUUUAAGACACAGCUCAAAACACAUCUGUUUAAACUG